UGGGGAAUAUUGCACAAUGGAGGGAACUCUGAUGCAGCGACGCCGCGUGAACGAAGAAGGCUUUCGAGUCGUAACGUUCUUUUAUAUGGGAAGAUAAUGACGGUACCAUAAGAAGAAGCCCCGGCUAACUACGUGCCAGCAGCCGCGGUAAUACGUAGGGGGCUAGCGUUGUCCGGAAUCACUGGGCGUAAAGGGUUCGCAGGCGGAAAUGCAAGUCAGGUGUAAAAGGCAGUAGCUUAACUACUGUAAGCAUUUGAAACUGCAUAUCUUGAGAAGAGGAGAGGUAAGUGGAAUUUUUAGUGUAGCGGUGAAAUGCGUAGAUAUUAAAAAGAAUACCGGGGGCGAAGGCGACUUACUGGGCUCAUUCUGACGCUGAGGAACGAAAGCGUGGGUAGCAAACAGG
rnacentral:rRNA from 1 species